rnacentral:rRNA from 1 species
AGGUUUGAUCAUGGCUCAGGAUGAACGCUGGCGGCGUGCCUAACACAUGCAAGUCGAGCGAUCUUCUUCGGAAGAGAGCGGCGGACGGGUGAGUAACGCGUGGGUAACCUGCCUCAUACACAUGGAUAACAUACCGAAAGGUAUGCUAAUACAAGAUGAUAUAAGAGAUUCGCAUGGAUUUCUUAUCAAAGCUUUUGCGGUAUGAGAUGGACCCGCGUCUGAUUAGCUAGUUGGUAAGGUAAUGGCUUACCAAGGCGACGAUCAGUAGCCGACCUGAGAGGGUGAUCGGCCACAUUGGAACUGAGACACGGUCCAAACUCCUACGGGAGGCAGCAGUGGGGAAUAUUGCACAAUGGGCGAAAGCCUGAUGCAGCAACGCCGCGUGAGCGAUGAAGGCCUUCGGGUCGUAAAGCUCUGUCCUCAAGGAAGAUAAUGACGGUACUUGAGGAGGAAGCCCCGGCUAACUACGUG